CUUUAAAAAUCUGGAACAAGCUGAAAAUUGAAAACAACCACAUUAUUUAUAGCUUAGAUAAUGUGAGAGUCUCUCAAAAAAUCUCAACUUGAAGUGUUUAUCAAGCACACAA
rnacentral:sRNA from 1 species